CAUCUGCAAAUCAAUUUUUGUCGACAAAUUAAAUCAAUUAGCAAUUAUAUUUGGGAAUCCCUAAUCCCUUCUCCAAAAUCAGUUCACACACACACAAAUCACUUUUCUUUGAGAAGGAAAAUCGGUAGAGAAGAGAGAGAGCAGCGGCAAGAAUUUAGUAGGAAUUCACGCUUAAUUUGAUUACACCACCAACCAAGAAAGCGCCGAGAGAGAAGGAGCACAAUCCUCCUACAACCCAAUUCCCUCACACACCAACGUGACAUCCCAAUGGCUCAGUUCAUCAUCAACAUGAAUGCUUCACUGCCACAGUCGCAGAAGUUCAUUAUACAAGUCUUGGAUAACACUCACCUUUUUGUGAGGCCGGAUAUGGGUGGUAUGAUAAAAAGUGCUAUCGCG